UGUCCUGAUUGCGAUUUUUAGCAGAGGUGAACUGGACCCUGUGAGCACUCUCAGCUAAUAAAUGUGCCCUUAAAAGAUUCAAAACAUGAGAUUGCCUGCAAAGAUUAUUUGGUUGAUAUUAUGGACUGUUUGUACAGCAGAAGGACACAUCAACGUGGGCAGCGAACCUAGAUGGGGAGGAAUGAAGGGACAAGAGACACAGAAGGAUGACAGCAAGACAAGAGUUCUGAUCAAGCUGCAAACUUUUAUUGUUCACACAGGGGUAUUUAUAUGCUGGGGAUGGGGAAGCUCUCUUAUCGGCAGUUGCUGGAUGUCUGCACAAGAUUGCCAAGGACCUCCUCCAAGAGGAGAUACAGAAAUUCUGUCUGGUUCCUGGCCUGACCAGCCUUAUUCAGAGGGUACUCAGGCUAUCUACAAAUGCCUCCCUGGCUACAGAACACUUGGCAUCAUCAUAAAGGCAUGCAGAAAUGGAGAAUGGGUGGCUCGUAAUCCAGCCAGGAUAUGUCAGAUCUGUUAUUUUUGUGUUUUCAGGUAUCAAAUGUUAAGCGACAAUAAUUUCCGAGAAUGUAAAGCAGAAGGAUGGACAAAUGAUAUUCCUAUAUGUGAAGUUGUUAAGUGUUUGCCAGUGACAGAACCAGAGAAUAGGAGAAUUAUCAGUAGUGCGACAGAACCAGAUGAGGAAUAUUAUUCUGGACAAGUCGUGCAGUUUGAGUGUAAUUCAGGCUUCAGACUUGAAGGACACAAAGAAAUAUAUUGUUCAGAAAAUGGUCAUUGGAGUAAUGAGAAACCAAGAUGUGUGGAAAUUUCCUGCACAUCGCCAGAAAUUAGAAAUGGCUAUUCUGUAUCUCUGAAGAAAAUUUAUAAGGAGAAUGAAAUAUUUCAAUAUAAAUGUAAUCAAGGUUUUGAAAACAGUGAAAGAGGCAAUGCUACAUGCACUAGUUCAGGAUGGAGUCCAAGUCCCUCAUGUGAAGAAGUAACAUGUAAUCCUCCUUAUAUUCCAAAUGGUGUUUACUCACCUCAAAGGAUUAAGCACAGAACUGAAGAUGAAAUCAGAUAUGAAUGUAAAAGUGGUUUUUAUCCUGCAACCAGGGGAAAUACUGCAAAAUGUACAAGUAGUGGCUGGAUACCUCCUCCAAGAUGUAGCUUAUAUUGCCUGUGGCUAUGUCUUGUAUGGCCUUUAUUAUUCUAAGGUCUACCUGCUGCUUGUUGACCCCAUCAGGUGGCCAGGCUCUGUCCUCCUGAUUGUCCAGUUCUCACCUUCAGCAGGAAUAUGUCUUCACCUGCAGCACCCCAGAUGGUGGGCCAGCUCAGACUCAGCCAUCAGAACCUUGCCCCACAGGCCUAGGGUGGGAUCCCUGCACCUGGGUGUCCCAGCCCUGGCUCCCCAUUUUGUGCCUGGCAAGCAGCCAUCUCUAAAACCUUCCUCCUGGGACAGUGGGUUCAUGACCCUCUGUAGCAGGGCACUGAGGCAGCUGAGCUACAUGCGUGCCACAGGCUUAGUGAGUGCCUGCUCCUGCAUCUCAAGCAGUAGGUGAAAGGCCACAUUGCAUACAGCUGCAUGUGCGCCCACACAUAUGUGCCUGGAACUCCGACCUGUCCUUCUUCCCCUGGGGAAUUGGGUCUCAGACUGGAGGAUUCAGCAUGCAACUCCAUGAAGUUGGCCCUGACAUCCCUGCCCUCACUUUGACCAUCCCUGAAAGCCCUGGAGGCCCUAAGCUCCACAAAGAAGACCACACUAGCCCCACUGUCCUGGCCCUCCUGCCCUGGCCUCACUGCACCUGUGAGGGCACCCUGGGGGCGGGGCCUAGGGCAACAGGGUCCACCCCGACACAUUGUGGCAAACCCUCGGCAGCCCCAUCCCCUCACGGUCUGGCUCUCCUAGACUCAGAAGCCCACACGCUCCGAUGAUCUACGUGCUCCAGUGGGAUGGCAGUUGAUCUGUAUUGUGGCCAACCGCCCAGAGCGCAGCGGCACUGAACAGGCUGAACUGUGACUUGGAGCUCCCUUCAGCUUGGACACGGUAUAAUCCUGAUCCGAGGUUCCCAGUUCAGAAGCUGGGCCCCAUGUUAGGCGUCCAUUGUCCGCCCUGUGUUCCUAUUGACCACCCUGUCUGCAGUGUAGCGGUGCAGCCCUCAUCUCCAUUCCUUUGGGGACAUUUGGGGACUCGGUGCUGGACUGCCAUGGCCAUGCUGCAGGACAUGGUAGCUGCAGAGGCUUCAGAAUCCCCACACUGAACUCCAGGAUGCUGUCGCGACCCCUUGCCUGCAAGGAAGACGCAACUCAGGAAUCUUCUUUCAGCAGUUUAUUCAGGCCCUUGAUACUUCUUCUUCUUCCUCUCGGAUGCCCCUCCCAGCCUUAAUAAAGCAUCUCAAGCCCCAAUGCGAAGCUGCCACGUGGAGCUUUCUCAUAGGGUGGUGAAAAACCAUGCGCCAACUCUCCCAAAUAAGGAGUUGUUUGUCACAGACCACAGCGGAGCCAGCGCCAUCUUGUAAUGGCGACCAUAGUCUGCAGAAACAGCAGAAGCGGCUCACCACAGUUCCCCCUUUCUGUUUUCUUAAUACAGGCGAGAGUAGAGGUCCUAUCCCACUGUGCAGAAGUGGCUGCAUAGUAUGGCUCAGUCCUAAGGAGGGCCCUUCCCCAGAUCUGAGGCCAUAUCAGCCGACGCUUUUUUUUUCGUGGGGCGGGGCGUGGACGCGUCUAACCUGCAUGCAAUAGGACAUGCUCUCCUUGAGGUCCUCGUCAAGGAUCACUCAAGUGCAGUGCCUUGCCUCGCAUCCUGUAUCGUGACGAUGGUGGACAAAGGGAGAUAGCUGAGGCUGAACUGUGGCUGUUUAUAACGACAAACAAGUUGACAGCACCCUGAAAGAAAGGCACGGACUUUAAGACGAUAGAAAAGCACUAGUGUGGAAACCCAUCUGCGUGCAAUGGCAGUAAGACCGGCAGAGUGCAAGGGCUUUCCAACACUAAGAGAAUAACAAAGAAAGUCAUGUCCAUCCCAGUGCAAUGUUAUAAUAACUUGGGGUGUAACGACCAUGUCAAAGGUUUACUGUUUAAGAUGCGCAAGCCAGACUUGAGGUGAGUUGCCAUUUUCUAAAGCUGCAAGAGCUUGUAUGAUCAUAGCCUUAUCGUGAGCACUGCGGGCCUUAAGGCGACAGAGAAACCACAAACAGAGGAACAUACCGAAGCAACACAUUGCACCAAAAAUGCCUACCCCCACCCACUCUUUGAAGAAGGAAAAAGCAGAAGAUAUCCAAUCGGUGAAUUGACCCAAAGUCACGGGAUCGACACGGGUACUGUUCAAGACAGCUAUCUGGGUUAGUUGAGACUGGAUCAUGUCUUCCGCUGCCAUGGACCAAUUUCCGGCCAAAUAUUCGCCAAUGAUGCGGGAGGCAUUCCUGGAAUCAUUAAAUCUGACAGAGGUUAUGCAUAAAUGUGCACGUUGGUCAACACAACCCAAAAGCACCAAGUCAGCCAAUUCUUCUACCUGAGCUUGGAGUAAAUCUAUUCUUUGGUUGGCAGCUAAAAUCCCUGACAAAAUAUGUUGAUUAAUUGUAUUUUGGGAUUCAAGUAUGGUGGAAGUUUGUUGAACAACUUGAUUAAUUGUGGCAGCAGUUUGUACUUGACUGGCCAUGGCCACUCCGGCCGUAACUGCUGCAGCAGCAGACACUGCCACAGCUGUCACUAUAGCUGCCAUAAUUCCAAAAUCCCUGCGGACUCUAAGUAGCUCAACAAUGGGGAAUUUAUCUGGGUCUGCAAUGACUGGGAUUGGGACAAAAGUUGGAAUUUUCAUAACCACUGCUACAGUCCAAGAACCAUUCCAACACUCAGAUAAGAGACAGGUAACAUUAGAACAAUUAAGCAUCCCCUGUGAUGUAUCAUUAGCCAAAAGAAACAGGAACGGAGAUUGGAGACAGACUGCUGCGGAGGGUAAUGUAGCAUUAGAUAAUUGUGAAUUAUUUGCAGAAAUUUUAAGCCUCCUACCUCGCUCCGAGUCUUGGGUACUGCCGGAAACAUUAAACAGCCAACUUUGGACUCCUAAUAUUUCCCUGGGGAAACACAAGCGCGGACUAGACUAGCCCAAUCUGAGGGAGUCAUGCAAAAUCUAGUAAGUCCCUCCACCUGAGUGAGAGUGAAAGCGGCAUCUAUGCUAUAAGUGCGGACAGAUUCUGCCAAGGUUUUAAUUAUCUUAAAGUCUAAAGGCUCAUGAUAUCUUCCCCUGUUAUUGUCCUGAAAUACAGGGUAUGCAAGUCCCAUAUCUGUAUUAACUGUCCUCCAAACUUGUGCAUGAAAAGAUCUCCCGGAACCUUGGCUCCCCCCACAUACGGAGGUGGGGCAAUCGGCACCAUAUCUUCUUCUAGAUAUUCUACCUCCUCCUCCUCCGAGUUUUGUUGACCGAUGUUAACUCCCUUCCCCUUCUUACAGUAGGCCUGUGUGCCCUGUGUCUCCUUUUUCUUCUUUUUCAUUUUUAUCUUAUGUAGUUGUUGUAACAAUAUAUCAAGGUCCUCAGAACUCUCUGAGUCGCUUGUGUUCUCAGGCGUUUUUAAUUCGGUCAAGUCUGGGUAGAGCCUUCUCCUAUUUUUAUCUUCAGGCUCUUUUGCCUUCUCACUACUGUUAUUUUUAAUACUCUCUGCCACUUCACUACAUGAUCCUUCAGAUUUUUCCUCAUGCAGUUGCUCAAGAAUAGCUUGACCCUCACUCACAGCUUCCUGGCAUUUACCAUCUGUUAUACAUCCUCUAACUAACUUCCAAAGUGGUAUAACACCACCCUCUAAGGUUCCUUGCUCACAAGCGAAAUCUAGAUCUUUCCCUAAUUUGUCCCAGCUGGGAAUCUUAAGACUCCCUGAAAAAGCAAACCAAGGAGCCGCUAUAUCAGCUUCUCUUAAAAACAUCUGCAAAGUGCUCUGCUUUAUCUUAAGUCCUUUUGAAUGUAACAACCCAUCUAGGGCCAGGAGAAGCGGACUUGAAGAUGCGGCACCCAUGACACAACAACAAAAGAAGCACAAAAAACAAAAGCGAAAUGACACAACAAAAGAAACACAGAAAACAAAAGUGAAAGUACACAGUGCAGCUGCAAUAAAAUGUAAUGCUCUCUCUUUCUUUACAGGGGAGCUGCCCCGCUUUGGUCGCGGAUCCCACUUACCUGGGACUAACCCCGCUUUGAUCGCGGAUCCCACUUACCUGGGACUAACCCCGCUUUGAUCGUGGAUCCCACUUAUUGGGACUAACCGGUGCACCACCCCUGACUGCUGAAAGUUCUGGUUCCCGGGUUUCGGCACCACUUGUCGUGACCCCUUGCCCGCAAGGAAGACGCAACUCAGGAAUCUUCUUUCAGCAGUUUAUUCAGGCCCUUGAUACUUCUUCUUCUUCCUCUCGGAUGCCCCUCCCAGCCUUAAUAAAGCAUCUCAAGCCCCAAUGCGAAGCUGCCACGUGGAGCUUUCUCAUAGGGUGGUGAAAAACCAUGCGCCAACUCUCCCAAAUAAGGAGUUGUUUGUCACAGACCACAGCGGAGCCAGCGCCAUCUUGUAAUGGCGACCAUAGUCUGCAGAAAUGGCAGAAGCGGCUCACCACAGGAUGCAGUCUUUCUAAUAUCACUGUUAUUGUAUCUUAGUUAAACAGCACACAGUCUUAAAAGCAUUAACAAUUAAAAUCAAUAACCAGCAUAUUUAUUUUUUCAUUUUAUUUUAUUUUAUUUUUGUUUGUUCUAGUUAGCUAUACAUGACAGUAGAACGCACCCUUACACAUCACACAUAGAUGGAGUAUAAUUCCUCAUCCUUCUAGUUGUACACGAUGUAGAAUCCCACUGGUCUUAUAUGUGUACAUAGGGCAAUAAUGUCUGAUUCAUUCUACUAUCCUUCCUACCCCCAUGCCCCCGUAUUUAUUAACUUUGUUUUCAUUUUGUAUAUCAUAUAACUAAUAUUACAAAUAAGAAUAAUAUGUAGAUUUUUCUUUCAUAUUUUAUUGUAAAACAAUACAUAUAAGUAAAUAAAAUAUGAACAUAAUCUAUUACAAAUAAUUCUAAUCAUUCUGUUUUAUUCCUAAUGAUGAUUAUUUGUGCCCCCUCCCUUUACUCUUGAUUAGUCUUUUCAGGAUUGCAUUAAUUUUGUUUUGUCCCCAAACUAGCUUUUAGUUUCUUUAAUGCUUUAUAUAUUGUGUAUUUUUUUUCAUUUUAUUAUUUCUUCUCUUUUUACUAUUAUUUCCUAAUUUCUUUCUACACAGCUAUUUUUCUAGCUUUUUGAGAAUUCUCACUUCCUUAAGUUUUACCUCCUUUCUGUAUUUUUAUUUAUUUUACUAAAUGUUUGUGUACAAUUUUGGUUAUUAUUCACUUCAAAAUAUUUUCUAAUUCUCAUUGAUUUUCUCAUUGACCUAUAGAAGACUUUAUGAAUUUGUAAACCAAUUUUUGUUCAUUGCUAUUUUCUUGGUUUUUUUUUUUUUUCUUAUAACGUGGGGGAACAAGAAUAUAUUCUGAUUUUGAUAGUUUGAAAUUUAUCAGAACUUGCAUUAUUAUCAUCUAAUGUAAUUUAUUUUCAUAAAUAUUUUAUGUGUUUUUUAAAAAAUAUUGUUGGGUACAGUGUUCUUUGUAUAUAAAGUAAGUCUUUUGUAAGUUUUUCAAAAUAUCCUUAAGAAUUUUUCUUGCUAUGUUCUCAUCAAUUAUUAAAGAUGUACACACUGUCUCCAAUAGUAAUUUUGAAACAUAUACACUCUAAGAUUUUAUACACACACACACACACACACACACACACACACUCACACACACACAUAUAUAUACUUUUUACUAGGUGCUUCACAUUUUAUUUUAAACUUUUUUUUUUAAUGGUGCUGGGGAUUGAACCCAGGGCCUUCUGCAUGUGAGGCAAGCACUCUACCAACUGAGCUAUAUUCCCAGCCCAUUAUUAGUAUUCUUGAUGACUGCCAUUCUGACUGGUGUAGAUGAAAUCUCAGUGUAGUUUUGAUUUGCAUUUCCUUGAUUGUUAAUAAUGUGGAAUUUUUUUUCAUAUGUAUUUGUAUUUCUUCUUUUGAGAAAUUUGUGUUUGUUUGCCCUUUUAGUAACUGGGUUAUUUGAUUUUUUUGGUGUGAAGUUUUUUGAGUUCUUUAUAUAUCCUAGAUAUUAACCUAUGUCAGAAGAGUCACUAGUAAAGAUUUUCUCCCAUUCUGUAGGUUCUCUCUUCACAUUCUUAAUUGUUUCCUUUGCUGUGCAGAAGAUUUUUAAUUUGAUACCAUCCCAUUUAUUAACUGUUGGCAUUAUUUCCUGAGUGUUGAUAGCCUGUUGAGUUGGAGUGAUGAUCCUACAUUUUCUUCUAGGAGUUGCACAGUUUCUGGUCUAAUCCCUAGGUCUUUGAUCCAUUUUGAGUUGAUUUUUGUGCAGGGUGAGAGAUAAAAGUCUAGUUUCAUUCUUCUACAUAUGGAUAGCCAGUUUCCCCAUUUAACUGGAACAUUCAAUCCAUUUCUGUGUCAUAAAAUUACUGAUGUGUUGCAGUUAAAAUCUAACCCUUUAGCUUAAUCCCUUUUACUGUAUUUGAUUCCUCUUUACAAUCUUGCUGCCUUCUGAAUUGGUUAAUUUUCAUGAUUUAAUCUUUCCCUUAAAGGUUAAAAAUUUCAUCUCAAUUCUGCUUCUGUAACUUUGGCAAUUAAUCUAGGAAUUAAAACUAGUUGUCUUAAUUCAUUUGGACUGCUAUAGCACACCAUCAUUAACUGGGCAGUUUAUAAAAACAUCAGAUGUUUAUUUUUGACAGUUCUGAAGGCUGGGAAGUGUGAGAAGGUGCCAGCAGAGGAUCAACUGAGGACAUCUUCUGGUUCAUAGACAGCACCUUCUACUUGUGUCCCCACACAGUGGAAUGGUCAGGGCAGCCUCCUUUGUAAAACCACUCUAAAGCUUCUUUUAACAUAGCUCUAAUCCCCUUCAUGAGAGCUCCACUUACAUAAUCUAAUUACCUCCCCAAACCCCACCUCCUAAUACCAACACAUUGGUGAUUAGGUUUAAACAUGAAUGUUGGGGAAGCAACAAACAUGGAUAUCAUAGCACGAGCCUUCUUAACAAAGUCUGAUGCUAAUUUAUCACUCAGACUUCAGAAGAAAAGUCUAAUCAGCAGAAGAUUAUCUAAAUGUCAAUCAGUUGAUCAAUAUACCCAUUUAUCUAUCUUGCUCUUAAAAUAAGAGAUUCUUCCUAGUUGCUUAGGAAAUUGUGGGAACAAUCUAAGUCUGAAAUCUACAUGGUGGGAAGUCAGAAGGAGAAUCUGGUCACAAACAGACUGGAACUCACAGGGAAGGCAACUGCUGUCCACAGUAAAAUUCCUUCCAGAACUUUUACCUUGAAUAAUCACCUGGAGUAAAGUCAAUAGAUUUAUUGCAUGCCCUCCUAGCAGCACAUAGAUUAGUGUUUGAUCGAAUACCAAAAGAUGGAGGCCCAGCCAUUUUCAUCUAUCAAUUGUUACACCUAUGUAUGAGUAUGAGUGCACGAAUGGUGUAGCCCUACAUCAUGUACAACCAGAGAAAUGGAAAGUUGUGCUCCAUUUGUGUAAAACAUAAAAUACAAAUUAUUAAAAUAAAAAAGAAAACUAUCACAGCUAGUUAAUACCUUUCCACUCUUCUCAACACUGAGAGCUCAUAAGACAUCAAUUCUCUUUUCUCAGUUUAUACACCAUUGUCAUGUAGUUUAUAUAUGUGUGUGUGUGCACACUUGUGUAUUUAAGCAGCAUAAGAUUAUAUAUGUACAUAUAUUAUAUAUAUUUGUUUUGUAGUCAAUGUUAAUUUUGAUUUACUCCUGUGUAUAUCAUUUUCUUGGCUCUUCAUUUCUCUAUUAUCAUAGACCCUAUAUCCAGGGGCAUUUUCCUUUUUCUGAAGUAUAUCUUUUAAUUCAUUUGUUUUUGUUUUAUUAAUGUGAAUUUAUGGAGGCAAUUUUCUCAAAUUUUAUUGAUCAAAUUUUCAUUCUUGAAAAAUUAUUUGUGUAUGUAGAAUUCUAGAUUGGUAAUUACAGCUUUCUCCAAAUUUAAAAAGAUCUUUUAACAUCUUCUAGCUUGUUACUGCUAUUGAGAAGUCUGCUGUAAGUCUAACCAUUAAUUGCCAUUAAAUGAAUCUGACCUUUUCUUUGGCCAUGUUAAGAUUUCACUCUUUUCUUUGGUUUUCUGUGUAUUCUUUAAAAUGAAGCAAGGCAUUCAUACCAGUGAUACCACCAGUUACUGGAGAGGAAUCCUGCUUCCUCACAUGUUGAAGUAUAACAUUAGAGAAGCACACCAAGGCAAGCAUAUAAAGCAGGGUUUAUUUAGAAAGGGGUAACAUAGACUUCUCCCAGGAGGAAGAAGGGGGCCAUGGCUGGUAUCCUGGUAUCUUAAGAAGUGAGGGUAUUCUGCCUUUUGUUUGUUUGUUUUUAAUGUCUUAGGCUUCCUUUGUUCUCCUGCUCUCUUCCCCUUAUCUCUCUCCUUUCUGUGUAUGUGACUAGGCCCAGGAGAUGCUCAGGUGGAAUGACCAAAAGGUGAGAAGCAGAUGGACAGGGGGAUUGGUCAGAUGAAGCAGCCCAGGACACAUUAAUUAACAGCUUUUACAACUCCCUGUAGGGAGGGACAAUUCCUGGGGCAGAUUACCUUAGCAACAGGUUGGAACAGGGCAGAUUAUCAUGAUAAGGGUGGAGGAAGGGCUCUGAAGUCCCUAGGAGGCAGACUCCAACUUUCUGGACUUACUCAAAUUGGCCUCCUUGAUCCGACCUGACUCGAUUUACCUACCUAUGUUGACUGCCUGGCUAAUUCUGGCUUCACCAGCAUGAACCCAUUCAGGGUCCAAAUUGGACUUUUAUUACUUUUGCCUAAUAAACCUAACAAGUAAUGGUCAUGUUAAUGACUGUUCUUAAGAAAAUGAACUUUUUUUUUCAUUUUAACAUUUGAAUUUUGGUAGUAUUAAUGCUUUUCUUACUGGAAAGAAGAAUGUAAUUUUUCAGUUGUUUAAUUUUGCAUAGUUUUUUUAUUUUUAAAAUACUAUAAUAUAUAUGUUGUUUUUGAAAUUUGUUUUAUUCAUUAAACUUUAUACUUUUGAUAUUUAAUCAUAGUGUUUAAAACAUUAAGUUUUCAUUGUAUAUAGGGUAAGUAUCAAUUAUGAUAAUGUACUGUGUAUUUCAAGAGCUGGAGAAAGGAUUUUGAAUGUUCUAACUGCAAAGAAAUAAAUGUUUGAAGAGAAAGAUAUUUGUCCUGAUUUGGACAUUGUGCAAAGUAUACAUGUAUUAAAACAUCAUAAAGACCCCAUAAAUAUGUGCAAAUAAUUAUCAAUUAAAAAGAUGUUUUCACCAUGAAGAAAUGAUAGAUCAUUGAGAAGAUAGAUGUUUAGCUUGACUUAAACAUUACACAGACUAUACAAACAGGGAAAUACCACAUAGUAAACUGUUAUUAGGUAUAAUUUUUGUUUUAAUCUAUCAUUUUUUCAAAAAAUUAAAGAAAAAAUGAAAAUAUUGAUAAAAUAAGCAAAUAUGAUAGUAGAUUAAUGGCACAAAAUAUUAGUGAGUUAAACAACUGAGUGUCAAAUAUAGUGGAUGGUUAAAGAAGAUUUAAGAGAAUAUUUGUGUUCUCUUACAUAGAUUGUGGUGAGAUGUGAAUCCCUUUUCUGUGGCCCCACCCCUUUGGCCUUGUGCGCUGCAUCCAACAUGGCUUCUCUCUUGGAUGGCUCUGCCCAUUGCUUCCUACAGCUUUCCUUGGCAGAUGUUCCAUGUUACUAGAAUCUCUUAAUUCCUGAGGUCUCCACUGCAGCUUUAGCUUCAUUCUCACAUUUUUAUGCAUUUCUGUCUCAGGGGCUACCUGAAGGGAUGCUGACCCUCCUGCACUUUGCCUGGCCUCCCAGGACUUCCUUUGAAACCUCAGUGGAGGCCUCCAUGAUCCCCAACUCCAGAAUCCUACAUUCUUGAACAACUGGCACCACAUGGAUGAUGCCAACUCCUGCUGCCAGCUCAAGGAAUAGCUGGGCUCCUUGACUAUGGUUGCAAGGGCCCUUGAAUCUAGACAACUGAACAUUAUUUAAGGACCCAUGAGGAAGGAACUUCAUAGGUCCCUCUUAUGGAGGCAGGGUGCUCCUAUGAUCUCUUUUCAAAUGAAUUUUUAUUUUACACCCUUAAGACUUCAAUGGGUGUAGUUUCCUAAGGUGCCCUUAAGGAAUCUUUUCUAUUAUCUCUGGAUAAAAUACUUAGCUUCUCUUUAGUGGUGGUAAUCUCUUCAGCAACCACAUCUACUUCUUUGGCCAAACUGAAAGCUUUUUCAAUCUUUCCUGGGUUUUUUGCUUCUGAUUAUCAUAGUAAACUUGGAUUAAUAACCACCAGCAAUACCCAUGCAACUUUCUGAAUUUGUGCUGCCUUGAACUUUACUCCCCCAGAUUUAUUAGUCCAUCAACUAUAGAUUGAGACUCAAAGUUUCAGGUCAUGGGCAAAUUGCAGAAAAGUUCUUUGCUGUCAUGUGACUGUAUCUAAUGUGACUUGUCUCUAAUCCAAUUCCUAAGAGUCCUCAUUACCAUCUGAAACCUCAUGAGCAUAGUCUUUUUACUGUUCAUAUUGUUAUCAACAUUCUGGUCUUCUCAGCUCCCAUCAGAAUUACCUAAAAAGCUUUGCUUUUAACAUUCUAAGUUUUCUCCAGCCUGCAUCUCCAAACAUGUCCAAACUCCUGCCACAAACCAGUUCAAAAGGCUUCUGAACCACAUGGUCAGGUUACUCACAGCAACAACCCUACUUUUCAGUAUCAAUUUAUCAGUCAGCUUUUCAUCGCUGUGACCAAAGUACCUGACAACAGUUACUUAGCAAAAAAAUAAUUUAUUCUCAGUUCAUAGUUUUAAGGAUUAAACCUCUGAGUUGGUGAGCCCAAAAUAAGAUUUUCUUCAUGAAUUCUCAGUUGACAUAUAAUUUUAAGCACCUAACUAAUUUUAGAAAUGAAAUUUUAAGCAUCUAAUUUUAGAAAUGUAAGACAACGAUUUCAUGCUUCAACAUUUACUAUUAUAGACUCAGUUGUUAUUUUGGUGUUAUCAAAAUAAAAUUUUUUUCUGUAUGUGUUUAAGGUUUUUUGCUUUUGUUUUUUUAUGUGUGUGUUUUAGCAGAGCCUAAAUAUAGGUUUCCUUUGUGUAUAUACUCUGGGGAGUUUGCCAAAAUUUACAUUUGUGUUUUGAUUUCUCUAAUAGAUUUUAGGUACCUUUCAGUAUUAAUUUUUCAGUUAUUACUUCUGUCAGUUUUCCCUCCUUUGAAACUCCAGUUAUUCAUAUGUUCUGUUACUUGACACUGUAUGACACAUUUUUUUACUCUGUUUGAUUUGUUCUUAUUUAUGCACUUUAGCCUUUCUGUAUUUCACUUGUGGCAUUUCUACAUUAGACUUUCUUCAAGUUUACUAUAUUUCCCUCUGUGUCCAUAUGACUCAUGAGACAUUAUUUCACAUAUUUAUUCUGUACUUUCAGAAUAACACAUGAUUUUUAGAGUCAUUUUGUUUGGGUAUCUUUUUAUUUUUACUCAUUUACAUCUUCUUUAUAUAGUUUCUUUAACAUACUUAAAAGAGUUAUUCUAAAGAUAUUGAUAGCAUUGUAGCUUCAGGAGCUAAGUGUCUGCUAUUUACUAACUUUAUUUUCUCUUCCUGGACAUACGUUUUCUCCUUUCAUGUGUGCUUUAAUUUUCAUUUGAGUCCAUACAUUUUGUAUGAGAUGGAAUGUUAUGACUUAAGUUUAUAUAAUUACUCCCACCAAUGAGAAUGUUUGCUUUCUUUUGAUCUAAUUAAACUCAUUUGGGCCUGGGUUA